UAUGUGUGUGGGAGUGUGUGUGUGUGUACAUGUAUAAGUGAGUGUGCACAUGUGAAUGUGUAUAACUGUAUAUGUGUAUGAGUGUGUACGUGUGUGUGUAUAUUUGAGUACAUGCAUGUGU
rnacentral:miRNA from 1 species